rnacentral:lncRNA from 1 species
GAGGGCGUUGCAGUUCUGAGAAAAUGUUAAAAAUAAAAUAAAGGAACAAACAUGCCAGACUCAGAAGAACAAAGACUGAGGAUCUAAGCAGCUCCAUGACUUUUAGAUGAUGUUUGAGGUCAUUUUAUAGACCCUGCUGAUUGUUACUUAAGCUCUUGUACAGGAACAGAAAGUCUCCUCAACUUCUGAGGUGGUUUGGGUUUCCUGGACAUAUAAGUGUCACAUGACUUCAGGAAGCUGGACAAAAAGAGAAGAGAAACAAAAAGAAUAGAUAGUUGAAGAAAAGAGAAGGAAGAGGAGUUCUACUAUUCAGCUUUUAACUCUGGAGAGUCAUGGAGAAUAUGUGGAUGUUGGGAGCUGUGUUGGCUCUGUCCGUCUGUCUCACCUCAGGUUCCAGGAAUGAGAGUGUUGAAAUGGGCACCAACAUAACUUUACUCUGUACCAAUGAAAAGGUAGAAUGGAAUAAGAUGAUUUAUGUAAUCUGGAAAAUCUACUCACAAGAGAAGAACUGUUCUAUCUCUGUGUCCACAAGCGACCCUGCCUUUAACAACUGUACGGAUGGAAAGCAGAUAAUCAAUGAAAGUACAAGUGGAAACUACAGCUUGUUCAUCCCUCAGUUUUCAAGCAAAGAUGAAGGCCGUUACAUCUGUGACAUGUCUUACCAAGCUGGGGCCUUUAUAGAAACAAUUAAUGUGUAUGCAUGCGUCCGUCCGACACUGACUGGCUGGCUGGAAAAGGAUGAAGAUGGUCACACUUUUGCCGUCUGUGAAGCUCAGAGUAAACCAGCAGCUUCCAUUUACUGGGAAACCCAGUGGAACAUCUCCUCACUCAGAACGAGCUCAUCUAAAAACGACAGUGGACUUUUCACAGUGACGAGCCGUUUACAGCUUCCUCAUGAUGCAUCUUACAACAAUCUGACCUGUGUGGUCUCUGCCAGCCCCUCCAACUACUGGAAAGAGAUUCAAUUCACCUUCCAGUAUAAGGUCUCUUUCCAGGCUAUUGAACACAAUUGGAUUCGUCUGGGUAUUUUUGCCUUUUUCAUCAUAACACUUCUGAUCAUCAUUGGAAUUGUUUUGAUCAUUAAAAAAUGUGGCCUGCAUGUCUGAAAUCUCAACACCAAAAGAAGAAAACUCAAAGGAAUAUGAAGAAGAAGUGAAGGUGGAAAGUGGCUUGUAUGUGAAUGUUAACCAACUUAUGACCUGUUUAGACUUGAGACUUAAGACAUACAAAAGUGCAGUGUUUAAGGGAAGCUGCAAAAUAACUCAGAGAUGGUGAACUUCCUGCAGGUCUUGAUAGCAGGUGGGAUCAAACAUUAUAAAAGUGGAUAUCUGCAUUUUUUGGAAUCUGAAAAAAUGUGUCCGGGUGGGAUUUUUUAAAUGAAAGGAUAUUGCGUUAAUUUCUACAGUCUAUUUCCAACGCAAAAAGACAAUAUGCAUAAAAUAUAUUAUAUCAUAUAUAAAUAUGUGUGUGUGAAUGUGUCAUGUUUUUGUCUGGAUGUGCCCAUGCAAGCCUUCUUAUUCUUAUUUAUU